UUGUCUCAAAGAUUAAGCCAUGCAUGUCUCAGUACGAGCCGCAUUAAGGUGAAACCGCGAAAGGCUCAUUAAAUCAGUUAUGGUUCCUUAGAUCGUACCCACAUUUACUUGGAUAACUGUGGUAAUUCUAGAGCUAAUACAUGCAGAUAGAGCUCCGACCGGAGACGGAAGGAGUGCUUUUAUUAGAACAAAACCAAUCGGCGGCGGCCGUCGUUCGCGGCGGCCGCGCGUCGCUCUACCUGGUGAAUCUGAAUAACUUGAAGCUGAUCGCACGGUCUCGCACCGGCGACGCAUCUUUCAAAUGUCUGCCUUAUCAACUGUCGAUGGUAGGUUCUGCGCCUACCAUGGUCGUAACGGGUAACGGGGAAUCAGGGUUCGAUUCCGGAGAGGGAGCCUGAGAAACGGCUACCACAUCCAAGGAAGGCAGCAGGCGCGCAAAUUACCCACUCCCGGCACGGGGAGGUAGUGACGAAAAAUAACGAUACGGGACUCAUCCGAGGCCCCGUAAUCGGAAUGAGUACACUUUAAAUCCUUUAACAAGGACCCAUUGGAGGGCAAGUCUGGUGCCAGCAGCCGCGGUAAUUCCAGCUCCAAUAGCGUA
rnacentral:rRNA from 1 species